ACGAACGCUGGCGGCGUGCUUAACACAUGCAAGUCGAACGGGAGCCCGGAGAUUUGGGAGACUGAAAGGAAGGGCUUUAGUGGCGGACGGGUGAGUAACGCGUGGGCAACCUGCCCUAUACAGGGGGAUAACACCGGGAAACCGGUGCUAAUACCGCAUAACGCCGCGUGAUGGCAUCAUCAUGCGGCCAAAGGAGAAAUCCGGUAUGGGAUGGGCCCGCGUCCGAUUAGCUAGUUGGUAAGGUAAAGGCUUACCAAGGCGACGAUCGGUAGCCGAACUGAGAGGUUGAUCGGCCACAUUGGGACUGAGACACGGCCCAGACUCCUACGGGAGGCAGCAGUGGGGAAUAUUGCACAAUGGGGGGAACCCUGAUGCAGCAACGCCGCGUGAAGGAAGAAGGUUUUCGGAUCGUAAACUUCUUUGACCGGGGACGAUAAUGACGGUACCCGGAAAACAAGCCACGGCUAACUACGU
rnacentral:rRNA from 1 species